ACCUUCCUUGUCUGGGGGUGGAUUGGGCUGUUCAAUGAACGUCUAGUGAGAACAUCCCUGCUAACACCUUACCAACACCACCCGCAUCACCUGAACUAUCUAUGUUUAGGCUAUGGUGCAAUUUUGGGGGCA